AUGCAACUAGAUCCAUACCCCUAAACUCCCUAGUUUAAGGCUGGUGCUCACAGAGCACCAGCCAUUUUUU
rnacentral:sRNA from 1 species